rnacentral:rRNA from 1 species
AUGCGUGAUCAGGUCGGCAACGUCCUGGACGGCUUCCCCCUCGACCACGAGUUCCCGAACGACUACGGGCUAGAGGAAGAGGACGAGUGCGACAUCGAAGUGGAGCCUUUGUUCGAGGACGAGCUCGCCAACCAAGCCGCUGGUCCUAAGCCGAAGCGCAAGAGCAAGCGCAUGAAGGCGUACACGGCGGCCGAGGACAAGCUUCUUUGCGAGUGUUAG